GAUUGAACGCUGGCGGCAGGCCUAACACAUGCAAGUCGAGCGGAUGAGAGGAGCUUGCUCCUGGAUUCAGCGGCGGACGGGUGAGUAAUGCCUAGGAAUCUGCCUGGUAGUGGGGGACAACGUUUCGAAAGGAACGCUAAUACCGCAUACGUCCUACGGGAGAAAGCAGGGGACCUUCGGGCCUUGCGCUAUCAGAUGAGCCUAGGUCGGAUUAGCUAGUUGGUGAGGUAAUGGCUCACCAAGGCGACGAUCCGUAACUGGUCUGAGAGGAUGAUCAGUCACACUGGAACUGAGACACGGUCCAGACUCCUACGGGAGGCAGCAGUGGGGAAUAUUGGACAAUGGGCGAAAGCCUGAUCCAGCCAUGCCGCGUGUGUGAAGAAGGUCUUCGGAUUGUAAAGCACUUUAAGUUGGGAGGAAGGGCAGUAACUUAAUACGUUGCUGUUUUGACGUUACCG
rnacentral:rRNA from 1 species